GCCGUUUUAACCUCCCACUGAGAGGAGUGUAAGCUCAGUACUGUUUCGACAAUCUCUGCACUUUUACUUUACUUUUGUUCGGUUUUUAAGCAUUAUUGGUUUAUAUAACACAUUUUUGACUGCGAAAAGACAUGUUCGGUGUGGAAAGGGGCAGGUCGUUUGGCAGAAGUCAGGAUAUCCGGGCUCCGCAUUGUUUUUUGAGCACCCCUGGACCAGGCACAAACGCAAGACCCAUCUAUGUGUCUUUCGUCAGCAAAGCGACCUUAUGGGAACGAGGUCUAUGCACCAGUGUUCACAAUGACCACUCUGUCUUAGAUCAUGGUCCUCGACUGUGUUCCCGCUUCCUGUCCCACAUGAAAGCCUGCCCCAAAGACUUAAAACCUCCAUGUUUUCUGAGUUCCAAGUCCAAACCUCGACCAACAUGUGAAGAGAAGCUGUAUGCACAUGCUCACACUUCCAGCAAGACGCAUAAACCUGACGGGCUCAAGGAGAAAAGGAGAUAUGGUGACUUCCAUCAAGAUCCAGGGGCAAGACAAUCUGCCGCUGCUGCCGCCGUUGCUCCUUGUCAUAGUUCAACUACUCCCCUGCCCAAGAUUAAACAAAAACCUAGUAGCAGAAUUUCCCCUGGCUCUGAAAGACCUCAGGAUUAUGAUGUGUCAACAGCUCUCCCAUUUAUACAGACAGUUUCCUCUGCUGUGGAAGACGCUGCGUUUAAGAAAGCUGAUGCAUCUUUAUUCAACAUAAAUAACACAAACUCAUUUAGAAAAGAUUAUCCCACUGAACAGGAGCCACUACAAUCCCCCGCCAGCCUUUGCCAGAGCUCUCUGUCCGACCUCAGUUGUCGCACCAGCCCGUUCAACAGCAGUCUGGACCUUAGUGGCCGAAGCAGCAUCCUGUCCGACAAAAGCUUUGCUGAAUCCCAGAGCACAAGCCCAGAGGGUAUAAUUUGUUCCCCAGUGGUUCAUUCUUCACCUGUGGCCCGCCGUCAUGCAUCAUUACCUCGCUAUUCUCCGACUAACCUGUCCACCUCUGCUCUAAUCUCCACAAAGCUUUAUGGUCAAACUAAGGCUCCUUCGCUGCCUCAGACUUCACCUGUUCUAUUGUGUAAACCUGAAGAUGACAAGGUAACAGUACAGGAGAGUUCCACUGAAAACGUUCAAGCUGAGUUUAGUCACAACAUAACUCCACAUAGUGCAAGGUCUUCCAGCCAUCUCAGUCCACUGAUGUCCUCAGCUGACACAUUGUCUUUUAAACGGUCCCCCUCUUCUGCCGUUUGUGGUCUCGGGUCUCUGUGGCCCGUUCUGCCUCCCAUCUCAACAGUCCAAGAGUGGUGCACCACUGCAGCCUGUGGCUCCUCUGAGGUGAGCUGUAGUGAGUCUCAGGUCUUUGAUGAACUGGAUGCUAUUGCGCCUUUAUCAGCUUCCUCUCCCUCUAUGGACCAGCUCUCUGAGUCUUCAUACUCUGCUUCCAAAGAUACAGAUGUCUCUCCUGGACUGGCAGCACUCACCGUUUGCUGUGACUCUGGAAAUCUGGGCUCUCUGUCUCGUGUGCAGCUCCUUUUAUUGAACCGGCAAGACCCUGACGCUCAAAGUCCAUUCAGUUUGGAUGAAGACCUGUCAUGUCUGGACAGCUAUGCUGAUUUUGACAUGAACAAUGGUCUUUGGAGGCCCCUCACAGCUGGCAGUAUCUCUGAAAAGUGCGACUCUAUAAGGAAAGCUCAUCAAAACAAACCGGAUGACUUAGAAGACGGUUCUGGCUCCCCUUGUUCAUGGAUCAUUGACCCAAGCCCUUUGAACAACAUGUUGAAAUCCUCCGACUCACAGUGCAACUUCUGCCUUGGAUCUUCGGAGGAUGAGGGGGUUAUAUUGUCCAAUUAUUCGAGGUUAAAUGAAGAGGAUGUAGAAACAUGUUCGACAAUGAAAAGAAUUGAAGAAGACCAAUUCAGGAAGAGGGAGGAGAGAAAAACAAAGGUGCUCAAAAUGCUUUCCAAACUGCAGGACAAUUUACCUCACCGGCCAGCAAGUUGCAAAGGUCACUCCAAUUUUGAAGACUUUGACUUUUUGGCCAAAUACUGCAUUUUUAAUCAGGAGAAACUGGCUGAAUACAAACAAGCUUUUGAAGAAGAGGACACUGAUGGGGAUGGCUACAUUUCUUGUCUUCAAGUUCUGUGUGCCUUGAAAAGCAUCAUUCCUCCAGAGCUGCUUUCUGAAGAGGAAGAGAUCUAUGUCUAUAGGAUUCUGGAGAUGGUGGACUUCAGGGUGACUGAUGGGCUUGUGGACCUCAGGCUGUUUGCAGUCAUUGCCAGUCUUGCCCAAAAGAUUGCCACCAUGGAUGAGUUUAUGCGCUCCCUAAUCAGCAGUAUAGACUUUCGCUCUCUGGAAGUAAAGCUCUUCAAGGCGAAGAAGCUGUUCCUUUGCCUCCUGGAGGAGCAGGCAAGUGACGGGAUGCCCCAACAAAAGUAUAUUAGUCCAGAACAACUGAUUCUAGAGCUUAAGGCCGGGGGCAUCUGUCUAGAGCAGGAGGCUGCCAUCAGAAUGGAGCUGCAGCAUAUUCCCCCUUUAGAUCUGCUGGACUUUCUAGCCCAUUUGCCUCUGUUUAUGCUCAUACACAGGUCUGUCAUUGCCAACCCUUUAGAUGAUUUCAGCCACUUAUGACACUAAAUAUCCCCACAACUAUCCUGCAUCUCAGAACCGCAACUGCAGCUCUGGAGCAUAUGUUGCUCACAAAUGUCUGACAGAAAUCAUUCUUUGACGGGUGAGAAAGUACUGCUGAAGAGCUGUCUAUGGUCCUGAAAUGACUUCACUGUGACAUGUGGAACACUCAACAUUUUACAGCAUGAAGAACUGCUGUCUCUGAACGAGAAGGGAAUUGUCAUAUUUUACCAAUUAGAUGUAUAUGUUGACAAUGAAGAUCCACACUGGCAAAUCAUAUUUAAUUCUCAGAGUUCAAGUUCAACUCUUUGUUUUGUUUCAGCUUUGCUAACUGGGUAUGGCUAUAAGACUAUCCUAUGGCUUGUUGUCAAUAGAUGGUAUGCAUGUGUUAUUUUCAUUCUAAACAGAACUCAUUCUGGACUGAAUGUGAAAACAAAUAAUAAAAAUUACUCUAAGUUGACAGUCAUUUGGCUUCAUAUGCGGUUGCCUCAAUAGAAGGAGCCCUAAUGCAUCAGCAGCCAAAAAUGAUGUUUGAUCUAUUAGAUCGUUGGGGGAUCGAGGAAUCCCCCAAUACACAUUUCAAUGUUUGUCUUUGCAUGUCUGACUUGUGUUGGGAAUUUGUUUGUAAAAGAAAGUUACUAAGCCCAUAGAGCACCAAAAACAUUUGUUGAUGUUGCAGCAGGAAUGGAAUCAAAAAACUAUAAUGGUGAUUUAGAAAAGUACCAAGGUGUUCAAUGUGCGUUAUGUAAUCGGGCCUUUUGUUAAAAACAAAAUAGCUUUGCUGAAGGCAAACGAAAGGCUAUUAGCUUAAAUUUCGCGUAGGCCUCAAGAUUUACUACCAAUCAAAUGAUUAGGCCAACUACUGCCC
ensembl:lncRNA